GUAACUUCCCUUCAUCUGUUUCUCUAACUUUCCCAGGUUUCUCCAACCGUUUUUCUCAGCCACUUCCUGGUCCAGGUUCUCAGGCAACACAAUCAGCAUUGGUCUCUCCUGCACUAUGCAGGCAACAUACCUUUUAUAGGGCAGUUAGUGGUUUAAUGAGUGUGUCACCUAGCCUUGGGAACAGUAAGCAGUCCAGUGGACCUAAGCGACCAGAACAGGGGUGUAAGUAUGACGUCUAGACUACACCAAGGAGCCUGUUGGACACCAGAAAGGACAGAGGACCACACUUAUCGGGAGCAGCCUUAAUCAAAAAAGCACCAGAA